rnacentral:lncRNA from 1 species
UACAACAUCAAUAAUGUUCAUAAUACAAUACAAUCAAGACAAACGAUCAGAUAAAAAAAAGAGAACAAUUUAAGUUCUUGAAGAAUAUGUAGAUAAAGAAUCUAAAAUACAUAAUAAGAAAAAUUGAUAUAAUUGCCAAUGAGACAAUUAUCCAAACAGAACAAAAAUAUUAAGGAAGAUAACUUUCUUCCAGGAAAACAACAAAUAACUGACAAAUGUUAGGGUAUACACGUGCACCAGCACGGGGACACAUUCAACUACAUCCCCACAAUACGAACAACAGACCCUACAUUCAAUAUUAAACAAGAAAAUUUAUAAUAUGAUUGCCAAUGAGACAAUUAUCCAACAGAGUCAAACACUGAAAAGGCAGCUUUUUCACAAUCUACCAAGAAAUGACUGACAAAAUUAGGGCCAUACACGGGACACA